AGUCAAACUCACAAUCGUUUUAGUAUUAGAUAUUACUAGACAUUCAGUUGGUAGGGUUUAACCCUUUUGAACAGUAGCAGAAAAUAAAACCAACGCCAAAGGGAGCAAAAAUUGUGCGGCGUGAGGCAACGGUUUCAGAUUUUUAGAGUUUCAAAAAUUUGAGGAAGGACAAGGCACUUGUGGACUAGCGAUAUUUGUAUUCUUCGGUUAAGAAAGUGUUCACCUCUAGAGUUUGAUAGCAGAUCUUGAUCCAAGGGUGAGCACUCCGUCUCCAGGCUGCCAUGGGUCAUCUUAUUUGUUCUUGUCCAUCUUUCGGGCAAUGAAGCAUUCUUUAUGUACUUUAUUUUUUGAUAUCACUUUAGAUAGGAUCUUUGUUAGAAGUUCUUGUACGAUGACUUUCGGGUCUUGAAAAUUUUAGUAAGUAGUUUGUUUGAA